AAUGACCGUCAUGUCACAAUAUUUUGCUUUUAGCCAUCUUGUCUGCCUGGAUUGCCUUCACUCCGCAGUCCUGGCCCACGCACACUUAUUCGUCCCAACCCCGCAGGCGCCUGAGCACCCAUCCCAGGGCUCCGCAAUUGCUGCCCAUCGCCGCCAAUGCCUUCGGACCGCUCAUUGCAGAAGCCCCCUCGCCGCUUCCGCCGGUACGGCUGUACGGAACUCCGUACCAUGUAUUUUAUUUACUUUCCUGCCGUUGUCAGUGAUGGUCAGUUGUCAUAUACAUGUACAGUACGCUGUUCAGUGACAGCCGGGACGGCAGGAUGAUGUGCACGAUGUCAAUCUUGGGGGCAGCUUUGUUUGUCUCCACUCCAGCAGCAGCCGGGGUACCGAGGACGUGGGGUGGCAGACUGCACCACCUUGGCAGCAGCCGUUUGAGCAGAGAGCCAUGUGUUUCGUGACACACAGUGCUUGCUUGGGACCACCAGUAAUGCACGUGUUUGGGACCACCUGGGGCUGUUCAGGGAUUCGGGAGGUGUGAAAACAUUCCAGCUAGCUAGCAGGGGCAGGCGGGUAAUCCACGGCCAUUUCCGGUCUCUCCUCAAUCCUCUCCAUCCACGUAACGCGAACUCACGCUCCGCUCCCUUUUCCAUGCCUCGCUGUCCCCGACACGCAUAUUGCUUCCUCAUGGGGACGGUUUACCGCACUAUCAUACCGCACUAUCAUCAUACCGCACUAUCAUACCACACUAUCAUACCACUCUCUCUCUUCCCCCGCGCGCCACACACGCACACAAACACACACCUUCCCGGUCCUCGCUCCGCCAUGACUCCACGUCACGUCGGUACGGCAACAACACGGGACUACACACAACGACAACAACUGCUUGGGGGCUCCAGACGCCCAUUUUGGACGCCAAGCUGUGAGUUACCCGGCCGAGUAGUUAGUUUCUAACUGCGUUUUUUGAGUGGCAGCUGUAUGGACCGGUGUUGCCUCAGCGCUUUCCAUGGGACUGCCUUCGCAGCUGACCCCUCGAUACACGUAUUAGCUGUGUACAGGCUUCUCGGAUGGUGGGGGGGGGGGUGCGAGGUAGAUGAGGUGAAUACACCUCGACCAUAAAUCAUAGAUACCAUCCUAAAACCCUUUGAGAAGAUAUGGUUACCAUAAAUACCAUCCUAAAACCCUGAGAUCCCUAAGUACUUAUAAUCCUAUCCUCGCGGCCUGUCAGGUAUUUAAGGUUUCUUGGGUACGUGUGACUCUGUGUGCAUGACUCGUCAUCAUGACCCUCGCGGACUCCCCAAAGUCCCCAAAGUCCCCAAAGCGACCGUCGCCAACGAGGGGCGACAAUCCCUUUUGGUUUCCCUCUCUUUUGGGGAGGAAAGAGGACCUCUCUCAGCUCUCUUGGCCCUGGUGUACCACUCAUGCAGGGCUAUGCAUCAGAACAGGGAU
rnacentral:lncRNA from 1 species